UGCAAGUCGUACGGGGUCACCCAGGAGCUUGCUCCUCGGGUGACGAGUGGCGGAGGGGUGAGUAAUGUCUGGGGAUCUGCCCGAUAGAGGGGGAUAACCACUGGAAACGGUGGCUAAUACCGCAUAACGUCGCAAGACCAAAGAGGGGGACCUUCGGGCCUCUCACUAUCGGAUGAACCCAGAUGGGAUUAGCUAGUAGGCGGGGUAACGGCCCACCUAGGCGACGAUCCCUAGCUGGUCUGAGAGGAUGACCAGCCACACUGGAACUGACACACGGUCCACACUCCUACGGGAGGCAGCAGUGGGGAAUAUUGCACAAUGGGCGCAAGCCUGAUGCACCCAUGCCGCGUGUAUGAAGAAGGCCUUCGGGUUGUAAAGUACUUUCAGCGGGGAGGAAGGCGAUGUGGUUAAUAACCGUGUCGAUUGACGUUACCCGCAAAAGAAGCACCGGCUAACUCCGUGCCAGCAGCCGCGGUAAUACGGAGGGUGCAAGCGUUAAUCGGAAUUACUGGGCGUAAAGCGCACGCAGGCGGUCUGUUAAGUCAGAUGUGAAAUCCCCGGGCUUAACCUGGGAACUGCAUUUGAAACUGGCAGGCUUGAGUCUCGUAGAGGGGGGUAGAAUUCCAGGUGUAGCGGUGAAAUGCGUAGAGAUCUGGAAGAAUACCGGUGGCGAAGGCGGCCCCCUGGACGAAGACUGACGCUCA
rnacentral:rRNA from 1 species